GGGGGCGUGCUGGUUUCGACGGGGGUAGCUUGAGAUAGGAAUAGCGGGUCGAGGUUCCAUCAGCUCGUUAAACGGUGGGCUUAAAUAUAAACGCAGACGAUAAUUUAGCUUUAGCUGCCUAAUUUAAGGUAGCCGUCCACUUCAGGCCUCCCGCCACCUGAAUGUUGGGCGUCGAUUUGGCGGGGAACGGUCCUAUCAAAGCUUUGAGAUAGGAUUGUAUCCAUGAAGCUAGCCAAUCUGGAAUCCUGUUCCUGGGAGUCCAGUGCGGUGAAAUUUAAAACAGGAACUGCACCCGGAGAAGUUCCUAUCGGGGCACCUUCGGACAGGGGUUCGAUUCCCCUCGCCUCCACCA
rnacentral:tmRNA from 1 species